rnacentral:rRNA from 1 species
CUAUACAUGACUCUGUGCAUAUCAAUAAGCGGAGGAAAAGAAACUAACAAGGAUUCCCUUAGUAACGGCGAGUGAAGCGGGAAGAGCUCAAAUUUGAAAUCUUCAAGGUUCUACCUUGACGAAUUGUAGUUUAUAGAAGUGUUUUCUGUUAGUAGAGUGGCAAAAGUUCUUUGGAAUAGGACAUCAUAGAGGGUGAGAAUCCCGUAUUUGGUCAUUCUUUCUAGCUUUGUGAUACACUUUCAACGAGUCGGAUUGUUUGGGAAUGCAGUCCAAAAUGGGUGGAUAAAUUUCAUCUAAAGCUAAAUAUUGGCGAGAGACCGAUAGCGAACAAGUACCGUGAGGGAAAGAUGAAAAGAACUUUGAAAAGAGAGUUAAACAGUACGUGAAAUUGUCAAAAGGGAAGCGUCUGACACCAGUGUUGUUUUUCCGAAAAUCAAUUACGAAUGUUUUGUUUUUGAGAAGUUAUGACUUCAUCGGCUUGCUUCUCUCUUUACGAAACUUUCUUAAUGCACUUUUCGGUUAACAAGUCAACAUCAAUUUCUUUUGUUGUAAAAGGGUAUGAGGAAGGUGGCUUUCUUUUCGGAGAAAGUGUUUAUAGCCUUGUACCUCUGCAAUCGGAGAGAUUGAGGUCUGCAGCGUAGAUCCUUCGGGGUUAGAUACAUUUGUGCUAAGUUAUAGCUUUUCAUAGACAACUUGUUGACUAUGUUAGUCUUGUAGCUUACUCGCUGAUGCUAUUUUACCUACGCUUAGGAUGUUGAUAGUCACAGCGUGUAC